GCCUCAGUAACGGCGAGUGAAGCGGCAACAGCUCAAAUUUGAAAUCUGGCCUCUGGCCCGAGUUGUAAUUUGCAGAGGAUGUUUCUGGCGAGGUGCCUUCCGAGUUCCCUGGAACGGGACGCCAUAGAGGGUGAGAGCCCCGUACGGUUGGUCGCUAAGCCUCUGUGAAACUCCUUCGACGAGUCGAGUAGUUUGGGAAUGCUGCUCUAAAUGGGAGGUAUACGUCUUCUAAAGCUAAAUACCGGCUAGAGACCGAUAGCGCACAAGUAGAGUGAUCGAAAGAUGAAAAGCACUUUGAAAAGAGGGUUAAAUAGUACGUGAAAUUGUUGAAAGGGAAGCGCUUAUGACCAGACUUGGACCGGUUGAUCAUCCAUCGUUCUCGGUGGUGCACUCUGCCGGUUCAGGCCAGCAUCAGUUUGGCUUGGGGGAUAAAGGCUUCGGGAAUGUGGCUCCCUACGGGGAGUGUUAUAGCCCGUUGCGUAAUACCCUGGGCUGGACUGAGGUUCGCGCUCCGCAAGGAUGCUGGCGUAAUGGUCAUCAGUGACCCGUCUUGAAACACGGACCAAGGAGUCGUCUUCGUAUGCGAGUGUUCGGGUGUCAAACCCCUACGCGUAAUGAAAGUGAACGUAGGAGAGAGCUUCGGCGCAUCUCCGACCGAUCCUGAUGUUCUCGGAUGGAUUUGAGUAAGAGCAUACGGGGCCGGACCCGAAAGAAGGUGAACUAUGCCUGUAUAGGGUGAAGCCAGAGGAAACUCUGGUGGAGGCUCGCAGCGGUUCUGACGUGCAAAUCGAUCGUCAAAUAUGGGCAUGGGGGCGAAAGACUAAUCGAACCUUCUAGUAGCUGGGUUUCCG
rnacentral:rRNA from 1 species